rfam:Triticum urartu cultivar G1812 contig956848, whole genome shotgun sequence.
UUUAUACUCUCUUCGUCCGAAAAAGCUUGUCCUUUAAAUGGAUGUAUCUAGCACCAAGCUAGUGCUAGAUACAUCCAUUUAAACCAUUUAAGGGACAAUUUUUUUCGGACGAAGGAAGUAUAUU